rnacentral:rRNA from 1 species
CUAGCGACAGGCCUAACACAUGCAAGUCGAGGGGCGAGCACAAGGAGCAAUCUGAGGUGGCGACCGGCGCACGGGUGAGUAACACGUAUGCAACCUGCCUGUAAGCGGGGAAUAACCCGUUGAAAGACGGACUAAUACCGCAUAAUACUAAAUUACUGCAUGGUAAUUUAUUUAAACAUUUAUGGCUUACAGAUGGGCAUGCGCAUGAUUAGCUAGUUGGAGAGGUAACGGCUCCCCAAGGCAACGAUCAUUAGGGGUUCUGAGAGGAAGGUCCCCACACUGGUACUGAGACACGGACCAGACUCCUACGGGAGGCAGCAGUGAGGAAUAUUGGUCAAUGGACGAGAGUCUGAACCAGCCAAGUCGCGUGCAGGAAGAAUGUCCUAAUGGAUUGUAAACUGCUUUUGCAGGGGAAUAAAGUGCAUCACGUGUGAUGUUUUGUAUGUACUCUGCGAAUAAGGAUCGGCUAACUCCGUGCCAGCCGCAGC